rfam:Bombyx mori DNA, contig: Bm_scaf141_contig39741, strain: p50T/Dazao, build 2, whole genome shotgun sequence.
UUAACUCUAAUUUGUAUUGAGAUGGAACGUUUCCCUACGUUUGUCGCUAGGGGCGCUGUUCCAACUACACACAAAUUUGAGUAA